rnacentral:rRNA from 1 species
GAUGAACGCUGGCGGCGUGCCUAAUACAUGCAAGUCGAGCGAACAGACGAGGAGCUUGCUCCUCUGACGUUAGCGGCGGACGGGUGAGUAACACGUGGAUAACCUACCUAUAAGACUGGGAUAACUUCGGGAAACCGGAGCUAAUACCGGAUAAUAUAUUGAACCGCAUGGUUCAAUAGUGAAAGACGGUUUUGCUGUCACUUAUAGAUGGAUCCGCGCCGCAUUAGCUAGUUGGUAAGGUAACGGCUUACCAAGGCAACGAUGCGUAGCCGACCUGAGAGGGUGAUCGGCCACACUGGAACUGAGACACGGUCCAGACUCCUACGGGAGGCAGCAGUAGGGAAUCUUCCGCAAAGGGCGAAAGCCUGACGGAGCAACGCCGCGUGAGUGAUGAAGGUCUUCGGAUCGUAAAACUCUGUUAUUAGAGAAGAACAAAUGUGUAAGUAACUAUGCACGUCUUGACGGUACCUAAUCAGAAAGCCACGGCUAACUACGUG